rnacentral:sRNA from 1 species
UGGAAGUUAAAGUCGUAACAAGGUUUCCGUAGGUGAACCUGCGGAAGGAUCAUUACAGAAUGAAAAGUGCUUAACUGCAUUUUUUCUUACACAUGUGUUUUUCUUUUUUUGAAAACUUUGCUUUGGUAGGCCUUCUAUAUGGGGCCUGCCAGAGAUUAAACUCAACCAAAUUUUAUUUAAUGUCAACCGAUUAUUUAAUAGUCAAAACUUUCAACAACGGAUCUCUUGGUUCUCGCAUCGAUGAAGAACGCAGCGAAAUGCGAUAAGUAAUAUGAAUUGCAGAUAUUCGUGAAUCAUCGAAUCUUUGAACGCACAUUGCGCCCUUUGGUAUUCCAAAGGGCAUGCCUGUUUGAGCGUCAUUUCUCCCUCAAACCCUCGGGUUUGGUGUUGAGCGAUACGCUGGGUUUGCUUGAAAGAAAGGCGGAGUAUAAACUAAUGGAUAGGUUUUUUCCACUCAUUGGUACAAACUCCAAAACUUCUUCCAAAUUCGACCUCAAAUCAGGUAGGACUACCCGCUGAACUUAAGCAUAUCAAUAAGCNGGAGGGAA